CCUACGGGAGGCAGCAGUGAGGAAUAUUGGUCAAUGGACGAGAGUCUGAACCAGCCAAGUAGCGUGAAGGAUGACUGCCCUAUGGGUUGUAAACUUCUUUUAUAAAGGAAUAAAACGAGGCACGUGUGCCUUUUUGCGUGUACUUUAUGAAUAAGGAUCGGCUAACUCCGUGCCAGCAGCCGCGGUAAUACGGAGGAUCCGAGCGUUAUCCGGAUUUAUUGGGUUUAAAGGGAGCGUAGAUGGGUUGUUAAGUCAGUUGUGAAAGUUUGCGGCUCAACCGUAAAAUUGCAAUUGAUACUGGCAGUCGUGAGUACAGUUGAGGUAGGCGGAAUUCGUGGUGUAGCGGUGAAAUGCUUAGAUAUCACGAAGAACCCCGAUUGCGAAGGCAGCUUACUAAACUGUGACUGACAUUGAUGCUCGAAAGUGUGGGUAUCAAACAGGAUUAGAUACCCUUGUAGUC
rnacentral:rRNA from 1 species